AAAAGCUUGUAUCUUUGAUUUGACCAUCUCACGAUUUAAUUACUUGGCUACUGGAAUUUGCGUUAGCGGCUGCCCUUCCCCUGGAACGAUCCCGUUUUGUCACUUCGUUUUUCUAAUCUCUUAACAAAUCUAUCUUUCCUCUUUAUUAUAAAAAAUUUGUACAAUCAACUUCUUAACAUUUUCAAAUCUUUCGGUCUUUUUUUAUGGAUCUUUCAAUUUCUUCUCGUUGGUUUUCUGUCUCUCCGCCUCCAGUUUCAUUCAAUUCCAAUAACUGCAUGAUUCUCAAUCCACUAUUACGCAGCUGGAAUUUCGAUUCCAGAAACUUCCAAAUUAAGCCGUUGGUUUCGCGCCAAAAUCGUCCAGUCAGAUGUCAGGUUUUGGAUCAACCGCCCAUUGACGACGGUUUUGUUCUCGAGGAUGUUCCGCACUUGACUAAUUUUCUCCCCGAAUUACCGUCAUACCCUAAUCCACUGGAAAAGAGCCAAGCAUAUGCUAUUGUCAAGAAAACAUUCGUUAGCCCUGAGGAUGUGGUUGCCCAAAGAAUAGUUUUACAAAAAGAUAGUCCUAGAGGAGUACAUUUUCGGCGUGCAGGACCACGAGCGAAGGUGUAUUUCAAGCCAGAAGAUGUGUGUGCUUGCAUUGUGACUUGUGGGGGUUUAUGCCCUGGGAUCAAUACAGUCAUUCGGGAGAUAAUAUGUGGCCUGAAUUACAUGUAUGGGGUUGAUAAUAUACUUGGCAUUGAGGGUGGUUACAGGGGCUUUUACUCUAAAAAUACCAUGAUGUUGACUCCUAAAGUUGUGAAUGAUAUCCAUAAACGUGGUGGCACUUUUCUUCGUACUUCGCGGGGAGGUCAUGAUACCCAUAAGAUUGUUGACAAUAUAGAAGACAGGGGAAUAAAUCAGGUGUAUAUAAUUGGCGGUGAUGGUACACAGAAAGGAGCAGCUCUUAUUUACAAGGAAAUUGAGAAACGUGGUCUUCCAGUGGCAGUAGCUGGCAUCCCUAAGACAAUUGAUAAUGAUAUUGCUGUGAUAGACAAGUCUUUUGGUUUUGAUACUGCUGUUGAAGAAGCUCAGAGGGCCAUUAAUGCUGCACAUGUGGAGGUGGAAAGUGUUGAAAAUGGAGUUGGAAUUGUCAAACUGAUGGGUAGAUAUAGUGGUUUCAUUGCUAUGCAUGCAACUUUGGCAAGUCGAGAUGUGGAUUGUUGCUUGAUUCCAGAAUCUCCAUUCUAUCUGGAAGGCCAAGGUGGACUUUUUGAAUUUAUUGAACAGCGGCUUAAAGAAAAUAGGCAUAUGGUAAUUGUGGUAGCUGAAGGAGCAGGACAAGAGUAUGUUGCCCAAAGCAUGGCUACAGCUGAGGAGAAAGAUGCAUCGGGAAACAGAUUACUCCUUGACAUUGGUCUCUGGUUGACUCGAAAGAUUAAGGAUCACUUCACUAAUAUUCAGAAGAUGACAAUAAAUAUGAAAUACAUAGAUCCAACAUACAUGAUACGAGCAAUUCCUAGUAAUGCGUCAGACAACAUCUACUGCACUCUUCUUGCCCAUAGUGCUGUUCAUGGGGCCAUGGCUGGGUUUACAGGCUUCACAGUUGGACCUGUAAACAGCAGGCAUGCUUAUAUUCCGAUUUCUCAUGUUACUGGGACACAAAACACAGUUAAGUUGACUGAUAGGAUGUGGGCUAGGCUUCUUGCAUCAACAAAUCAACCUACUUUCUUGAAUAGUAGUGACAUGUCGCAAUAUAGAGUUGAUAAAGAAGCAAUCAACAAUAUGAAGAUCACUUCAGUUUAGAUCACUUGAGUUCAGAUCCAAACAGUUCAGUGUUUAGUUCAUCAACAAGAUAAAAAGAUUAUUUCAAGAUGGAUUUCAUUUGCGCUCAAAUUCAAGCAGUUGCAGAUAUUUAUACAUUCCACACAACAAUGCACGAGACUAGGAGACAAAACUUUUGCAACUGGAUCAAAUAGUGGUCCUGGUCAUCCAACUUGUUCAUCAAGUCUAUCUUUUUCAAUUUGUACCAUCGACCUAUGAAUCCUUCAUAUUAAUUCCUUUAGGAUAAACUUGUACUGUCUCAAUCCUCUGUGUAGAUACUCAUACAUGCACCUGCAUGCUUAAAUUUGACGUGGGGCUUAUUUAGUUUAGAUGGAAUCAACUCUGGUGUCUCUGCCCUUCCUUUUCUAAAAGGUUGUUAACUCAGUUGCUUGUUGAAAAUACGCUGUCAAAAGGGUUUCUGGGUAAUACAAGCUUGUGUACAAUUUAAAAAAGAACAUAGUUUUCUGUGGAAUCAUUGGAAAAUGGCCAAGUUUUAACCGCUUUUUCUUCUUGAAAUUUAAUGUGGAAGGCCGGCUGCUAUUGUGUAGUA